rnacentral:lncRNA from 1 species
GUCUUGGGUUUUUCAUCGGGGAGUGGGAGUGGACUGAAGGCUUGGCCGCUCCGCCUCACUGAGCCGGCUCAGCCAGCGCAGCUGUUCCUGGAACGCCAGUCCCUUAGGAUGGGAGGUACUUUCAUCUCGAAGAGGGCCGUGGCGUCUGGAGCUUCCCUCCCUUCUGUCCUGCUGAGUCAUCCCCGCGUCGCCUGCGAGGCCGCGAGGCGUUUAGAGAGCGGAGAAGGCAAAGAGGAACAGACUGGGAAAGAGACUGGAUAGAUUCUAAUAUGGUGAAAACAUCAGAAGCAGUUCAGGGACUAGGAAGUGGGAACUCUAGAGAUGACAGACAUUCUGCUGGGUGGUUUUUAAAGUUUCUUCCAGAGUCAUCUGCCUCAUUAACAACAAUUUUUGUGGAAGAAGUCUGUCUUUGAUUUUAUGAACUCACGUGACUCCUUGGUCUGUUACGAAUGCACAAUGCUCCAGUCCUUCAAUAAGCCCAUUACAUACUUUCACCAUGUCAUCUAUAGGUGCUUUUUCUCCAGUGUAAACAUCAUCUUCGUCAUCACUCUUACAAUGCUCACCUUGAUUCAGAACCAUUUUGACCAUUCACAUCAGUCAAUGAAUGAACAACUGAAGUGUCAUCAUGGACAGUAAAAACUUCUUCCAUAUCCUCUUCUUUCAGCCUACUGACAGACUCGGAAGGUGUAUAUUUCACAUAUGGCAGGAGGUCAGACUUUUUUUUCAACUUGACAUACAGAAUCCUUCAAAGUCACUACCUUGUUCUUCAUCAUCACUGAGCAUAC